CAACCCUCGGGCUCCUGCUCCCCACCGGGGAUGUGGCCUGGCGUUGGGGUAUCUGCAGCUGACCGCAGGCCCUGAAAGAGAGUGGCGGCGCCCGCUAGCACUCCGGGCGUAGUGGAUGUCUUUCUCGCCCAGGACGUCUCGCGGGCCGCCGGCCGUAAAACAGCCCCCAGUCAUUACAAGG
rnacentral:misc_RNA from 1 species